rnacentral:misc_RNA from 1 species
CCCMCGGRRARGUUWAMAACACCCGAAAGUCGGUGGGGUAACCCGCAAGGGAGCCAGCCGCCGAAGGUGGGGUAGAUGAUUGGGGUGAAGUCGUAACAAGGUAGCCGUAUCGGAAGGUGCGGCUGGAUCACCUCCUUUCUAUGGAGAAUCGUUCUCUGCAAUGAGGACAUUCAAAUCUUAAAUCUAACCGGYCGGKUAGUUACUCACUCSUUGSUCWGUUUUGAGAGUYUAAGCUCUCAUCUUUACCUUGAUCCUUGAAAACUGGAUACCGARACGAAUUUGCGUUUUARAACAUUCCUUUAARCUGAACUUGUGUAAACAAGUGWAGAAUUAAUAGKGAARCUGGCGAUUUUCCUAACGGAAAACGCAUUGGUUARGCUAAUAAGAGYACACKGAGGAUGCCUAGGCGCCAGGAGCCGACRAAGGACGUGGCGAACAACGAAACUGCCUCGGGGAGMUGUAAGCAAGCUUUGAUCCGGGGGUGUCCAAAUGGGGAAACMCGGCUGUGGUAAUUCRCASUCAC